rnacentral:rRNA from 1 species
UUACCCAAUCCUGACACAGGGAGGUAGUGACAAGAAAUAACAAAGCAAGCCCUUAGGGGCGCUGCGUUGGAAUGAGUAGAAUUUAAAUCUCUUUACGACUAUCGAUUGGAGGGCAAGUCUGGUGCCAGCAGCCGCGGUAAUUCCAGCUCCAAUAGCGUAUAUUAAAGUUGUUGCGGUUAAAAAGCUCGUAGUUGGAUUUCUGUUGAGUUCGGGCGGUGUACACUUCGUGUAUUAUUUGCUUCGGGUUCGGCAUCCUCUUGGGGAACGUUCCGGACUUUAUUGGACGGGCGGGAUUCAAGACUUUUACUUUGAGGAAAUUAGAGUGUUCACGGCAGGCAAGUGCUUUGAAUACAUUAGCAUGGAAUAAUAAUAUAGGACCUUCGUUCUGUUUUGUUGGUUUCUAGAACUUAGGUAAUGAUUAAUAGGGACAAUUGGGGGCAUUCGUAUUAACGCGUCAGAGGUGGAAUUCUUGGAUUGCGUUACGACGAACUACUGCGAAAGCAUUUGCCAAAGAUGUUCUCAUUGAUCAAGAACGAAAGUAUGGGGAUCGAAGACGCUUAGAUACCGUCGUAGUCUAUACCAUAAACUAUGCCAACUAGAGAUCGGAGGGGUUAUCCUAUGUGGCUCCUUCGGCAUCUUAUGAGAAAUCAAAGUUUUUGGGUUCCGGGGGGAGUAUGGUCGCAAGGCUGAAACUUAAAGGAAUUGACGGAAGGGCACCACCAGGAGUGGAGCCUGCGGCUUAAUUUGACUCAACACGGGGAAACUUACCAGGUCCAGACAUAGUAAGGAUUGA